GGUACAUACAAGUGCUGAGGGUUCAAGGAAAGAGAAAAACAUGAAGUAGAGGUUGUCUUCAAAGUUUUCUUAGAGAAGGAAGUUCAGCCAUAUUUUAAAGGAUCAGCAAGAUUUUAAAUGUACUAAUCUUUAAGCUUCAAGACAUAGGGACUUGGCACAGAGCACUUAGCACAGAGCCUGGCACAUAGUAGGUACUCAGUCAUUUGUUGAGUGAAUUAAAUUUGUACUUAUUUGAUAUGACAGCAAGUUGAGAG
rnacentral:lncRNA from 1 species